AUUGAACGCUGGCGGCAGGCCUAACACAUGCAAGUCGAGCGGAUGAAGGGAGCUUGCUCCUGGAUUCAGCGGCGGACGGGUGAGUAAUGCCUAGGAAUCUGCCUGGUAGUGGGGGAUAACGUCCGGAAACGGGCGCUAAUACCGCAUACGUCCUGAGGGAGAAAGUGGGGGAUCUUCGGACCUCACGCUAUCAGAUGAGCCUAGGUCGGAUUAGCUAGUUGGUGGGGUAAAGGCCUACCAAGGCGACGAUCCGUAACUGGUCUGAGAGGAUGAUCAGUCACACUGGAACUGAGACGCGGUCCAGACUCCUACGGGAGGCAGCAGUGGGGAAUAUUGGACCAUGGGCGAAAGCCUGAUCCAGCCAUGCCGCGUGUGUGAAGAAGGUCUUCGGAUUGUAAAGCACUUUAAGUUGGGAGGAAGGGCAGUAAGUUAAUACCUUGCUGUUUUGACGUUACCAACAGAAUAAGCACCGGCUAACUUCGUG
rnacentral:rRNA from 1 species